CUUACUUGAUCUCUUUCCAUAAAUACUUUUUAUUCAUUACCAUUUAAGUUUGAACUUCUUAGUUAAAGAAAGUCUUAUACUGAUUGAUUUUAUUUGCUACCCAGUUCCAUAAUUAUUUUUUUACCUUAUUUCUACCUGUUUUCACAGUAUACAUACCUGCUCUUUCAUUGACACAAACACCACCAACACUCGUAGUUUUCUGAACUUAUACUCUUACUUAAAAGUAUUCUCUCUUGUAUUGUGGCCUAUUUGCAAGUCCUGCUGCCUGCUUCUUUCUCUAUUUCUUUGAAGUAGUAUGUUCAGAUUCAGCACCACAACGAUGUGUUUAUUUAACAUUUUUUCCUCUUGAUUGCCUACUGCUUGUGUUUAGUUCUGUACUUAUUUAGCACUCUCCUUCUGUCUGUUCUGCCUCUAGUGUGUAUUCUACGUAUGUUUGACACUGAUGGUUGUUUGAGCCAUGACAUCAUUCAAGUGUUGAUGUUUAUGAAUCAAACUUGAUCCCCCUGGGAUCAUAACCUCAUGUUACCAUUGUAUGUUGUCUAUUCUGGUUAGUUAUAUGAGCAUGACAACAUUCUCUAUUGUUGCACAUGUCCAGAAUCGAUUAAUGUCCAAACACAAGGGCUCUCUGCAAUCAGUUCCCAAACCUGGAAUCCACUUUUGUGUGAAGUUAUUAAUUCUGUAGCUAUUUCCCAUCACCCCUUUCUCUUUUUCUCUACUUCUCUAGUUCUUCAAGUUCUUCUUCUGCACUUGCAUUCUCUCUUGGCAUUUAAGUUCUACUUCCCUCUUGUGAGCCUUGCCUUGGGACCCAUUGAGCUCCCUCUAAACUUGGACACUCGAGGGCCUGCCCUUCCAACGGCACUUGUCCCCAAUCUGAU
rnacentral:lncRNA from 1 species